rnacentral:rRNA from 1 species
AGGACGAACGCUGGCGGCGUGCUUAACACAUGCAAGUCGAACGGAAAGGCCCGCUUGCGGGUACUCGAGUGGCGAACGGGUGAGUAACACGUGGGCAACCUGCCCUCAGCUUCGGGAUAACACUUGGAAACAGGUGCUAAUACCGGAUGAUAACCUUUCACCGCAUGGUGGUUGGUUCAAAGUUUUUCGGCUGAGGAUGGGCCCGCGGCCUAUCAGCUUGUUGGUGGGGUGAUGGCCUACCAAGGCGACGACGGGUA